GACGUAGGGGGCGAGCGUUGUCCGGAAUUAUUGGGCGUAAAGAGCUCGUAGGCGGUUCCGUAAGUCAGAUGUGAAAACUCAAGGCUUAACCUUGAGACGCCAUCUGAUACUGCGGUGACUAGAAUCCAGUAGGGGAGUGUGGAAUUCCUGGUGUAGCGGUGAAAUGCACAGAUAUCAGGAGGAACACCUAUGGCGAAGGCAGCACUCUGGGCUGGUAUUGACGCUGAGGAGCGAAAGCAUGGGUAGCAAACAGG
rnacentral:rRNA from 1 species